rnacentral:rRNA from 1 species
GCCCUUAGAGUUUGAUCAUGGCUCAGGACGAACGCUGGCGGCAUGCCUCACACAUGCAAGUCGAACGAGAAAAGCAAAGAGCUUGCUCUUUGUGGAUCUAGUGGCGGACGGGUGCGUAACACGUGGGCAACCUGCCCUUUAGUUUGGGAUACCAUCGGGAAACUGAUGUUAAUACCAAAUACCUUCAUUAAAUCACCUGAUUGAAUGAAGAAAGAUUUAUCGCUAAAGGAUGGGCCCGCGCUUCAUUAGCUAGUUGGUAGGGUAAUGGCCUACCAAGGCAACGACGGAUAGCUGGUCUGAGAGGACGAUCAGCCACACUGGGACUGAGACACGGCCCAGACUCCUACGGGAGGCAGCAGUGGGGGAUAUUGCGCAAUGGGGGCAACCCUGACGCAGCAAUGCCGCGUGAAGGAUGAAGGUUUUCGGAUCGUAAACUUCUGUUAUGAGGGAUGAAGAAAGUGACAGUACCUCAAGAGGAAGCCCCGGCUAACUACGUGCCAGCAGCCGCGGUAAUACGUAGGGGGCAAGCGUUGUCCGGAAUUACUGGGCGUAAAGAGCAUGUAGGUGGUUUAAUAAGUCAGAUGUUAAACUGCGGGGCUUAACCCCGUAUUGCAUUUGAAACUGUUAAACUUGAGAACAGGAGAGGAAAGUGGAAUUCCUAGUGUAGCGGUGAAAUGCGUAGAUAUUAGGAAGAACACCAGUGGCGAAGGCGACUUUCUGGACUGUUACUGACACUGAGAUGCGAAAGCGUGGGGAGCGAACAGGAUUAGAUACCCUGGUAGUCCACGCCGUAAACGCUGGGUACUAGGUGUAGGAGGUUUCGAUACCUUCUGUGCC